UACGGAGGGAGCUAGCGUUGUUCGGAAUUACUGGGCGUAAAGCGCACGUAGGCGGUUAUUCAAGUCAGAGGUGAAAGCCCGGGGCUCAACUCCGGAACUGCCUUUGAAACUAGAUAGCUUGAAUCCAGGAGAGGUGAGUGGAAUUCCGAGUGUAGAGGUGAAAUUCGUAGAUAUUCGGAAGAACACCAGUGGCGAAGGCGGCUCACUGGACUGGUAUUGACGCUGAGGUGCGAAAGCGUGGGGAGCAAACAGG
rnacentral:rRNA from 2 species